CAGUAGUGAGGAAAGGUGUAUAGUUAAUAGCAUUACACUGUGACGUUAGCUACAGAAGAAGCACGGCAAACUCCGUGCCAGCAGCCGCGGUAAUACGGAGGGUGCGAGCGUUAAUCGGAAUUACUGGGCGUAAAGCGCGCGUAGGCGGUUAUUUAAGUGAGGUGUGAAAUCCCUGGGCUCAACCUAGGAACUGCAUUUCAAACUGGAUAACUUGAGUAUGUCAGAGGGUAUUGGAAUUUCCCCGUGUAGCAGUGAAAUGCGUAGAUAUGGGAAGGAACAUCAGUGGCGAAGGCGAAUACCUGGGAUAAUACUGACGCUGAGGUGCGAAAGCGUGGGGAGCAAACGGGAUUAGAUACCCUGGUAG
rnacentral:rRNA from 1 species